GGUGCAUGGUUGUCGUCAGCUCGUGUCGUGAGAUGUUGGGUUAAGUCCCGCAACGAGCGCAACCCCUACGUUUAGUUGCUAACGCGUGAAGGCGAGCACUCUAGACGAACUGCCGUUGACAAACGGAGGAAGGUGGGGAUGACGUCAAAUCAUCAUGCCCCUUAUGUUCUGGGCUACACACGUGCUACAAUGGCCGGUACAGACGGACGCAAAGCCGCGAGGUGGAGCAAAUCCUAAAAAGCCGGUCUCAGUUCGGAUUGCAGGUUGCAAUUCGCCUGCAUGAAGUCGGAAUCGCUAGUAAUCGCAGGUCAGCAUACUGCGGUGAAUACGUUCCCGGGCCUU
rnacentral:rRNA from 1 species